AGAGUUUGAUCUUGGCUCAGAUUGAACGCUGGCGGCAGGCUUAACACAUGCAAGUCGAGCGGUAGCAGGCCUUCGGGUGCUGACGAGCGGCGGACGGGUGAGGAAUGCAUAGGAAUCUGCCUAUUAGUGGGGGAUAACACGGGGAAACUCGUGCUAAUACCGCAUACGUCCUACGGGAGAAAGCGGGGGAUCUUUGGACCUCGCGCUAAUAGAUGAGCCUAUGCCGGAUUAGCUAGUUGGUAGGGUAAAGGCCUACCAAGGCGACGAUCCGUAGCUGGUCUGAGAGGAUGAUCAGCCACACUGGGACUGAGACACGGCCCAGACUCCUACGGGAGGCAGCAGUGGGGAAUAAUGGACAAUGGGCGCAAGCCUGAUCCAGCCAUGCCGCGUGUGUGAAGAAGGCCUUCGGGUUGUAAAGCACUUUAAGUGGGGAGGAAGGUUAGUGGUUUAAUACGCUACUAAAUUGACGUUACCCACAGAAUAAGCACCGGCUAACUCUGUGCCAGCAGCCGCGGUAAUACAGAGGGUGCAAGCGUUAAUCGGAAUUACUGGGCGUAAAGCGCGCGUAGGUGGUUUUGUAAGUUGAAUGUGAAAUCCCCGGGCUUAACCUGGGAAUGGCAUCCAAAACUGCACGACUAGAGUAUGGGAGAGGGAGGUAGAAUUCCAGGUGUAGCGGUGAAAUGCGUAGAGAUCUGGAUGAAUACCGGUGGCGAAGGCGGCCUCCUGGCCUAAUACUGACACUGAGGUGCGAAAGCGUGGGUAGCAAACAGGAUUAGAUACCCUGGUAGUCCACGCCGUAAACGAUGAGAACUAGCCGUUGGUCUCCUUGAGAGGUUAGUGGCGCAGCUAACGCGAUAAGUUCUCCGCCUGGGGAGUACGGCCGCAAGGUUAAAACUCAAAUUGACGGGGGCCCGCACAAGCGGUGGAGCAUGUGGUUUAAUUCGACGCAACGCGAAGAACCUUACCUGGUCUUGACAUCCACGGAAUCCUGCAGAGAUGUGGGAAUGCCUUCGGGAACCGUGAGACAGGUGCUGCAUGGCUGUCGUCAGCUCGUGUUGUGAAAUGUUGGGUUAAGUCCCGUAACGAGCGCAACCCUUGUCCUUAGUUGCCAGCGAGUAAUGUCGGGAACUCUAAGGAGACUGCCGGUGACAAACCGGAGGAAGGUGGGGACGACGUCAAGUCAUCAUGGCCCUUACGACCAGGGCUACACACGUGCUACAAUGGCCGGUACAGAGGGUUGCCAAGCCGCGAGGUGGAGCCAAUCCCGAAAAGCCGGUCGUAGUCCGGAUUGCAGUCUGCAACUCGACUGCAUGAAGUCGGAAUCGCUAGUAAUCGCAGAUCAGAAUGCUGCGGUGAAUACGUUCCCGGGCCUUGUACACACCGCCCGUCACACCAUGGGAGUGGGUUGCACCAGAAGUAGUUAGCUUAACCGCAAGGGGAGCGAUUACCACGGUGUGAUUCAUGACUGGGGUGAAGUCGUAACAAGGUA
rnacentral:rRNA from 1 species